rnacentral:rRNA from 1 species
UUCGCAAUGCCCGAAAGGGUGACGAAGCGACGCCGCGUGCGGGAAGAAGGCCUUCGGGUUGUAAACCGCUGUCGGGAGUUAAGAAAUGCAAGGGUGUUAACAGCGUCCUUGCUUGACUAAGGCUCCGGAGGAAGCCACGGCUAACUCUGUGCCAGCAGCCGCGGUAAUACGGAGGCGGCAAGCGUUGUUCGGAAUUAUUGGGCGUAAAGAGCACGUAGGCGGCUGUGUAAGUCGGUUGUGAAAGCCUUCCGCUCAACGGAAGAACGGCAUCCGAUACUGCAUAGCUUGAGGACGGGAGGGGAGAGUGGAAUUCCCGGUGUAGCGGUGAAAUGCGUAGAUAUCGGGAGGAACGCCGGUGGCGAAAGCGACUCUCUGGUCCGUAACUGACACUGAGUGUGCGAAAGCUAGGGGAGCAAACAGGAUUAGAUACCCUGGUAGUCCUAGCCGUAAACGAUGGGCACUAAGUAGAGGGGUUUUA